rnacentral:rRNA from 1 species
AUUGAACGCUGGCGGCAGGCCUAACACAUGCAAGUCGAGCGGAUGAGUGGAGCUUGCUCCAUGAUUCAGCGGCGGACGGGUGAGUAAUGCCUAGGAAUCUGCCUGGUAGUGGGGGACAACGUUUCGAAAGGAACGCUAAUACCGCAUACGUCCUACGGGAGAAAGUGGGAGAUCUUCGGACCUCACGCUAUCAGAUGAGCCUAGGUCGGAUUAGCUAGUUGGUGAGGUAAAGGCUCACCAAGGCGACGAUCCGUAACUGGUCUGAGAGGAUGAUCAGUCACACUGGAACUGAGACACGGUCCAGACUCCUACGGGAGGCAGCAGUGGGGAAUAUUGGACAAUGGGCGAAAGCCUGAUCCAGCCAUGCCGCGUGUGUGAAGAAGGUCUUCGGAUUGUAAAGCACUUUAAGUUGGGAGGAAGGGCAGUAAGUUAAUACCUUGCUGUUUUGACGUUACCAACAGAAUAAGCCCCGGCUAACUUCGUGCCAGCAGCCGCGGUAACAC